AAUAUUAAUGAAUAAUAAUCCAAUUUGAUAAAAAAAUAAUCACUGAUGAAUAAUAAUCCAAUUUGAUAAUAAUCCAAUUUAAUGAAUAAUCCAAUUUGAUAAUAAUAAAAAACCUAAUAUUAAUGAAUAAUAAUCCAAAUUGAUAAAAAAAUAAUCCUAAUAUAAAACAUAGUGAUGAAUAAUAAUCCAAUUUGAUAAUAAUAAAAAACCUAAUAUUAAUGAAUAAUAAUCCAAUUUGAUAAAAAAAAUAAUCCUAAUAUAAAACAUAGUGAUGAAUAAUAAUCCAAUUUAAUGAAUAAUCCAAUUUGAUAAUAAUCCAAUUUAAUGAAUAAUCCAAUUUGAUAAUAAUCCAAUUUAAUGAAUAAUCCAAUUUGAUAAUAAUAAAAAACCUAAUAUUAAUGAAUAAUAAUCCAAAUUGAUAA
rnacentral:lncRNA from 1 species